UACGUAGGCAGCAAGCGUUGUUCGGAAUUACUGGGCGUAAAGAGUGUGUAGGCGGUGCUCUAAGUCUGUCGUGAAAUCUCCCGGCUUAACUGGGAGGGUGCGGCGGAAACUGGAAUGCUAGAGGGUGGGAGAGGAAAGCGGAAUUCCUGGUGUAGCGGUGAAAUGCGUAGAUAUCAGGAGGAACACCAGUGGCGAAGGCGGUACUCUGGGCCGGAACUGACGCUGAGGAGCGAAAGCGUGGGUAGCGAACAGG
rnacentral:rRNA from 1 species